AAACGUUCCUUUAAUGUGAUAUGUUAACAAAGGUGGAACGUUUUGCCUGGCUGCAACACUAAGGAUGUGUUUUGGACGUUGUUGGGUAACACAUUAAAGAUGUUCCCCCAAAGUGAGCCCUGCGAUGACGCCUCUGGACCCGACCCCUCCAACAGUUCCCAGAACCAAGAGGAGGGUAUCUCGACUUGUGAUGUUGCUGCAACCUGCAAAAGCCAUAGCAGGUACGUUUAUCACACAUCCUGAACAGCUUUAGUACAAGCUCUGACCUUUAUUCAGAGGGGUCUUGGAGGUUUUUGUGAACACUUGAUUUUUCUCUUUGGAUUCAAACAAUUCCCUUCAGUUCCUUGUGUAACCUGACAAUCUUUAAUUCAGCACACAGCAGGUCACCCACAUAUAAAACACCCGAAAGCUUGAUCUUUAGACACGACACCAUUUAACAUAUGAUUAAUAACAUGUUCUAAUGAUAACUGAUUCAUCACUGGGUGAGUGCAGUGCUUUGACAGAGUAAUCUGCUGUUAGUAGGAGAGAAGGCUGCCCGGGACUGCAGCCUCCAGACGACAAAUGAUAAACAAGUUGAACAGGUUGAGCUGCAGCCAUUGACCAAUCCGAUGGAAAGCCUCUGAAGGCUGGUAAGCAAUAAAGAUCUGUUGUACCAGAUCAGAGAAUACAUAUUUUUCAUGUUGCAAAUAAUUUGUUUGACAUUACAUUGAUGCAACCUCUUAGAAGAGCGUAAAAUGUUUCUUAAUUAGACUUUACAUUUAAAGUUAGCAAUGUUUACAGUAGCAGGUUUAACUGCAAGUGACUUUUUAUAUUUAUUUUAUUACUGACCAUCAUUUUUGUCAUGUAAACUCACGGGGAGAAGAAAGUGCAAAGCUUGAAAAUAUUGCAAGCUCUGGCACAACACCACUCCCAGACUCUCAAGACAAAACGCCAUGAAGAGUGUCUGGCUCUAUUUGACGAGGUAAAUAACCUACGCUCAGCAGUGGCCUGUGAGGCUAUGACCACGUUAGCCGAGCUGUAUGUGAACCUCAAAAAGGCAAUGGACUCGGAGGUCGAAGCCACAGGCCGAGCUCUGCUGCUCAAACUAGCGCAGACCGCCAGCAACUUUGUUCAGUAGCAGGCCAAUCUUGCACUGGGCGCCAUGGUGGAGAACUGCAGCCAUGGGCGGACAGUGAGCACUCUGUUGAACACGGGACUGAAUCACCGGUGUGUCGCAGUAAGAGGGAGCAUGGCCCAACACCUGCACCUCUAGGUCGACAGAUUUGGAGCAGCUUGCGUCUUGGCAGCAGGAACGAGCUUCACCGAACACUUCCUAAGAGCCGUCUCCAAAAUGUGUGUGGAUGCUGCACCAGACGUGAGGCACCACGGACAGAUCCUCCUCCAGAAGCUGGCUUCCAACCAGAGAUUUCUGAACCUGUGGACAAAGAUCAUCCCAGAAACAGAAAGAGCUCCGCUGGACAAGACCCUGAAGAAGUCCAAGCUGUAAAACUGGAGAACAUGUGCAAUAUAAAUAAAUAACUGCAUACUUCCUCAUCUUAUUCUUUUUGACUAAAAACACUUAGGCAUCCAGUCUAAUAUAGAGUGUUAACUGCUCGUUACAAUGAUACUGAAAAAUGCUGCCAAUAUAAAAUAUGUAGUCAUGAUGUUGCACUUUUGCAGAUUGCAGCAGGUUGUGAGCAGGUCAGGCAAGCAAUAUUUUCCCUUCUCACAUUGUUUUAUUAUAUGACUUUUAGAAGCCUAGAAUUGCAGAAUGAUUGUUUUCUGUUAAUCGUCUCAAAUGUACACUGUAAACAUGCACCCGGGUCAACUUCACCCGGGUACACAAACAACACAGAAGCAGCUAAUCCUCUGACUAUUAUGUGAAGUGAAAGUUGCCUGCGUUGACCAAAAUAAUGAAUGCACAUCAUAAGGUUAAGCGUCACAGACUUCCUUUUUCUCUGCCCCUCUCUGUGUACUGAACAUUUGAAUAUGUUCUCUUGGCAAACAGUGUUUGACUGUAAAUACACACCUCUUUUACAUGCGGGGUCAUAUUUUCUCUUUUCCUUUUAUUUCCAUCCUGUUUCUUUUCCAAGCUGUGAAAAGAGUUGCAGGAAUUGAAAAUGUAUCUGCAUUCCAGGAAAUACUGGAGAUUUGAAUAGAUAUCUGAUGGUCUACAAUAGCAGUGAAUCUUCAGGGGCGUCUCUGACACCACAACUUCAUAGUUGAAUUCAAAGCCCUUGAUUUUUCAAGAAGAAAAAAUACAUUCGACUAAAGGAUGCUUUCUUGUCCUUUAGUUAUUUAUUGCUCAUCUUAUUCAUUCAUUCCUCGUCAAUAGAUGUCCUUGACUGUUUUUGAAAGUAAAAUGGCAUUCAGUUCAAAUCAAUGACGUCAGUUUCUUCCUGUUAGAACACCUUUGACUCAUGUGCAACCUUGGUGCAGUCUCCAAACCUACAUGAAAUAAAGCCCACUGAUGACACUGACAACACCUACAGUCUCAUAUCUCUGUUGAGAUAUGAAGUUGCUUUUAGGAUGGAUUGAUGAAAAACAGAGAAAGGACAAAAAUGUUUCGCAUACAAUCUCUUGUCUUGUGAAAAGUACUUAUUCUUAUUUCAUCAACAAAAAAUUAUUUUUGACUUUCACAGCUCUAAAAUAUCUCAUAUGUAUUUAAUAAGGAGCCAACUCUUCCUCUCGAUAUUGCUAUUAGUGAGAAAAGACAGCUGGUCUGGAUAUUCAUGUAUAUUUCUCAGCACUAUUUUCAUCUGUGAGUUAAAGGGACUAUAGGGCCUUGAAAAUUGGUAUUUUGCACAGUAACACAAGUAGAGAUGUUCACAUGUGACCUCUGUGAGCUGUUUUGUUAAGUUAAAUGAGCAAGAACAAGUAUUUACAGACAUGCUAGCUGCUCUGUGUCGCUACACUAUAGGCCUUUGCUAAAAUAAAUGUCAUACAUUUUUCAGUGCAAGUUAAAUUAUUGGAAAUGUCGUCAUAUAGAGUUUUUGUAUUUUGUAUUAUG